rnacentral:rRNA from 1 species
UACGUAGGGGGCAAGCGUUGUCCGGAAUCAUUGGGCGUAAAGCGCGUGUAGGCGGCCAGAAAAGUCCGCUGUGAAAACUCGAGGCUCAACUUCGAGCUGUCGGUGGAAACUUUCUGGCUAGAGUCCGGAAGAGGAGAAUGGAAUUCCUGGUGUAGCGGUGAAAUGCGCAGAUAUCAGGAGGAACACCGGCGGUGUAGACGGCUUUCUGGACCGUAGCUGACGCUGAGACACGAAAGCGUGGGUAGCAAACAGG